UGCAUUUUGGCCAAAUUAUGCCCCCUUUUGGACUUCGAAAAUCCUGGUUAAAGUUUUGUGUGCAAGUACAUACAGCUAUUACUUAAAGGCAUAUAGAUUUGAAACUUAUUUUUUAUUUUUCUAGAUCAAUUACCAACCUCACUGGAUCAAUUCCCAUAACUCUGACAUGUAUUUUGGCCAAAUUAUGCCCCCUUUUGGACUUAGAAAAUUCUGGUUAAAGUUUUGCGUGCAAGUUACUGUCUGCAGAACAAAUGCAGAUAUUAAAUUUAAACUUCACAUGUGCCUUCAGGGUUAUAAAACUUGCUGAUUGCAUCAAGUCCCAUAACUCUGACAUGCAUUUUGGUCAAAUUAUGUCUCCUUUUGAGCUUAAAACUUCUGGUUAAAGUUUUGCAUGCAAGUUACUAUCUCUAAAACUAAUGCUGAUACUGGAUUGAAACUCUAUAGAUAUUUUUACAUUUAGGGUAACAUUUUCCUGCUUCUGGGACAAUAAUUCGAAUAGUCCAACAUUGGCUGUCUUACGGACAGCUCUUGUUCUAUACAUUAUUUCUUAAUUUCAACCAGAAUACUUAAACGUUAUUGACAAAUAAAUGUAUCAGUGGUAACAGACUUUUUUACUCUUAAGACCUCAUCCUGAAAAAUUAGUAUAUUUGUUUAAGUUUAGGUCUUUUGAUGAUUAAAAUGUUUGUAAAUCUGAUAUAUUUUGAUGAUGAUUUUUUGUAUUUUGAACUAGUAGAUGUGUUGGAAAUUCUCCUGUUGCUUGUGCAGGAAGUUAUGCUGAUAAUGAUGUAGGUGGCGCUGCUGCAACAGGUGAUGGUGAUGUCUUGAUGAGAUUUCUUCCAAGAUGCAGUAAUAGAUCUGAAAAUGUAGGCCUGUACAUGAGACAGAUCUGUUCCAUAUCGGGACUUUGAUAAGAACACACAUAUUAGACAGAGAAUAUGUAUUCAGAGUUUCUGCAGCAGUGAUAUUUAGACCAAUUCACAGUGUGACUGAGAUCGUGUGAUAUAUAGAUCCAGAAGGAGCCCCCAGACAUGUGAAAGUAGAGAGCCUCACUACAUCAUCAGUCAAGGUCAUCUCGGAGCACCUUCUGCUACACCAGUCAUCUUGAAUUCUACAGAAAUACAGGUGACCUCCCCUGGGUACCACUGAAAACACAGGAUGGAAACCUGUAUGGAUACAGGGUAUCUCAUUGGUAUGGAACAGACCUGAGUGUGAACAGUAAUUGAUCCUUGUUGGACUUGGUAUCCACACAGGAGAUACCUUCAGUGUACAGGCUAUAUAUGGUUGGAGAGGGACAAAGAGGGAGUGAAGUCAAAAAUGAGAAAACUUUGGAAGGAUGUUAGUGCUCUAAUGAAGGUUCUGUCAUGCCCAAAUUUUGGUGGCCUAUUGAAACCAGAAAUAACACUUCAGUGAUAUUGUAAUGGAACCAGUUGUAGCAGUUGUAAAUUUUGGCAGCAGGAAAACCAAUAUUCAUUCUUAAUAUAGAACCUCUGGAGCAGACAAGUUGUCAACAUUACAGAUCCAUUCAAAGUAUGGUGACAGUUGCAGAGUCUCAAGUCUAGAGAGAACAUUGGCAGAUCUUGGAAUUUGUCCCAAGAUUUAAGUUUAAAUAUGAUUGUGACUGUAGACUGCAUGUAUAUUGUUUCAAUCAGAGGCUUUUUCCUGCUUUUGUAUCUUAUGGAAAACAUAAUAAAUUAUUAUCAAAGUAUAGGAAAUAAUUCUAUUGACAACAAGUUUUUAUUAAAAAGCAAAGAAACUUUAGGUUUUGUUGUUGACAGGUUUUUGGAAUUUACUGUAGAAGUGACUGUAUCAUGUUUAGAAUUUAGAAUUAUAAAAGGAGAAUUUUUCAUAUGAUUGUAUUAUUUUUUGGUCACAUGACCUUCUUGUACAUAAGAAAAUUGAAAUAGUUUAAAGCACCAUUAACCUUCAAACUUAAAGGUGGUUAAUCAGUUGUUUUUAAAACUUAAACAUUUGAUGUAAUAUCUAACAUUUAGCACUCAAUAGAAGUUAAUUUUUAUUAGAGGUGUUUUCCUAUCAUAGUUGCCCAACCAAGAUCCAACAAAGAUAAGAAUAGAAAUGACAAAUAUACUUUGCCUAAGGAAAGAUAUAAAUACAAAUAUUGUAUUUGUAUAAACCAUUACCCUGCUAAAUUUCUAUAAUAAACUUGUUAAUCUUUCAAUUUGGACAGUACCAUUAACUGUUAAAAGGGGUGCUUACCAAAAAAGAUAUUGACUGAAUGGCGACCAGUGUAGACAGAUGUGCAGGCUGAUCAUGAUCUACACUGGCAAAGGCAGAAUCAAUUGUGUCCAGCAUUAUAAGAAUCAAUCGUGUCCAGCAUUAUAAGGGUUAACAGCUAUUUGUUACAUGUUUUUCAUUGAUUUCUCUAUAAUAUUAGAAUGAAAUAUAUUUGGUAUUUUCACAGUGGAAAAUGUACAUUUUUCAGUGGUAAGAAACUAUAAAAUGGGUGAAUUUAAAUUUAUCGGUAGUCAAAACAUGAAAUGAAUUGUUUAUUUUACAUGUUAAAUCAAAAUAUCUUCCAUUCGUGAACACCAUAUCUUACAUUUUCACUUGUUGCUAUGCCACUUGUGAAAAUAAUGCAUCUAGUGUUCACUCAUGAAAGAUAUUUCAAUCUGAAACAAACUACCGUAGAUACCCAUGUAUUAUGUGCAGUUUUUUUACCCCCCGGGACCACCCCAAAUCGGGGGUGAUUAUUAUACACAGGUACACAAUUUUCCAGCUUCAAAACAAGUUUGUUUAGGUUACAGUUUUUGCCAUUUUGGUAAAGGGAAACUACUCUUUGCGCUUACUGCCAACGUUAAAAUCUAAGAUUGCCGCUACUUUCCAUAAAAGAUUGAGUGGUUUAUUUUUCUUUCAAACAAAAUUUACUUCAUACAAAUUUAAUAGUAUUUUGAAGAAAGAAAUGUAAAAAAAUCACAAAUAGUAUGAUACUAAUUAAAGAUAAAGUAUUAUCUUUAACUGAGAUGAAACUGUGAAUUACAAAAUUGACAGACGGUGACAUGCUAAUUGCCGAGGCCAUUUGAUCGUAACAAAAAGACAGUCACACUUUUUGUUAUCGGUUUGAAUUGAGAAGCUCAUUUCAUUUCUUGAAAGAUACCAUUCUGAAAUAUUGAAACCAUUGCUUUCUAUUUAUUCAAAAUAUUUAAUUAAAAAAAAGAAACAACAAACAUAACAAAAACACAUGAUUUCAUAAAAAUCAAUUUCUGAUAUUUUAUACAAAUUAAAUAAAGAUAUUUUGAAGAUCUUUAAAAAAAAUCCUAUUACCUCAGAGGUUUUUAGAAUGAUAUAUGAUGAAGGUAUUUUAAAAUAUUUAACCUUUAGCCUGCUUGAGGCAAGUGACUCUGCCUUUACGACCAAGAUCAGCAUGCACAAACCUGCAGUCAGUAAAUUUUCAGCGAACACCCCUUAUAAUAAAUGGUACUGCCAUAAUUGAGCGAUAGACAAGUCUGUUUUAGAAAUUUAGCAGGGUAAAUGUUAAAGAGAAAAUAAAUAGUCCAUAAAAAUAUUUUUAUUUAUAUAUAAAUAUUCUGCAUACGGCAAGAGGACAUUACCCUCUAUUAUUGGACAAAACCGUAAAAAGGCUGAGCCUAAAUCCAAUAAUUUGAUUAAGGUCCUUAAAUUUUAUAUUGGGUGGAAUUAACAGGAAUUAUUAUUUCUUACUUUGUGCAAAUUUUAUCAAAGAGGACACCUUUUGCAAAAAAAAGUGUUUUCAUAGUUAUUAAAUCACCAAAUUAAUUUUUGUAAUAUAUUAAAAUAUGGAAAAUAUAGUUCAGUUUGAUCAAAUUUUAUUUUGUCAUGUUACCUUAUUGACAUAUAAGAUAUUUAAUAAUGUUUCAGAUAGUGUAUUUGUAAAAUGAUUAGAAUACAUGCCAUUGUUUGAUUUAACAGUUCUUUAUAUAUUUAUUUUGAAUGUUCUUUAUUUUUGAGAACCAAAUGUAAGUUAUACCAUUUUGUUAAGGUUUUCAGGGAUAGUAUUAGAUGUAAUACUUGUCUUGUCUGACUUUCAUAUUUUGCAAUACAAAUAUUGAUAUGUAAGAAUAACAUGUACCACUUUUCUUCACAAUAUGAUACAGCAACUGGUAUUUCAUAACUCAAAAAGCUGAAAGACUUUGUCUGGCCCAUAUUUAAAAACAUAUAUUUUAUUUUUGGCUUGCUUUGGGAUGAAAACAAAUGUUUGUAUCUGUCUUGUCAUAUUUUUAGCUCACCUGUCACAUAGUGACAGGGUAAGCUUUUGUGAUCGCAUUUUGUCCUGGUCUUUCGUUCACAAUUUCAUGUAAACACGAUAGAGACCACAUUUUACAAUCAACUUUAAUCAAACUUGCACACAACUUGUAUUAGCAAAAUAUCUGGGUUCCUUUCGAAAACUGGCCAGAUCCCAUCAUGGGUUCCAGAGUUUCUAUUUUGGCACUUUCAGCCAUAAAGGUUUCAUUUGUGCUUUGAUUUGAUAUAAACUUGCACAGAAUGAUUAUCUUGAUGAUCUCUAGGCCUGGAUUAAAACUGGGUCAUGUUGGGUCAAAAACUAGGUCAUCAGGUCAAAUCAUAGGAAAAGCUUGUUAACAACCUAGAGGCCAUAUUUAUGACCCUAUCUUCAUGAAACUUGGUCAGAUUGUUUAUCUUGAUGAUUUCUAGGCCAGUUUUGAAUCUGGGUCAUGUGGGGUCAAAAACUAGGUCACCUGGUCAAAUCAAAUGAAGUGCUUGUUAACACUGUUGAAGCAACAUUUAUGAGCCUAUCUUCUUGAAACUUUGUCACAAUGUUUAUCUUGAUGAAUUCUAAGCUAACUAAUGGGUUCAAAAACUAAGUCACCAGGUCAAAUCAAAGGAAAAGCUUGUUAACACUCUUGUUCAUUUGAUGUGCAUGAAACUUGGUCAGAAUGUUUGUCUGUAUGGAAUAUCGAAUGAAUUUUUAUCUAGGUCAUGUAGGGUUAAAAACUAGGUCUUCAGGUCAACUCGAAGAAUAAGCUUGUUUACACUCAAGAGGGCACAUUUUUUGGUCCAGUCUUAAUGAAAAUUGGUCAGAAUAUUUGUCUCUAUCAAAUCACUAGGUAAAACAUGUUUACAUUGUUAUUGUGUGUUACUCAAGUGAGCGACAUAUGGCCAUCUUGGCCCUCUUGUUAGCUCUUCUGAGCACAAAGUGGUCAAAAUGUGCUGUUGUGAUCACCCUGUGUCUGUUGUUGUUGGUGCAUGGUCCAAUCAUCAACAGUUUGACUGUUAACACAUUAGAGGUCACAGUUUUAGCCCAGUCUUAAUGAAACUUGGUCAGAUUACCUGUGGUGAAAGACUAGGUCACUAGGUCAAAUCAUAGAAUGUCUGAGAUUGUUUUUCUUUGAGAAAUCUAGAGUAAGUUUAAAACUGGGUUACAUGAGGUCAGAACUGGUUUGAUCUUCAUCAGACUUGGUCUGUAGUAUCACUGUUAGGUCCUUUGCCAAAUUUAUAUAUAAAGUGGGGACACUAGACCUUGUUCUAGGGACCAUUAGAGCUAAAUGUAGAAAAACUUGUGAACCGCUUCUUGUCAUUUACCCCUUUAUAGAUCUUCAUUAAUCUUGGUCUUCAGUAUCAUUAUAAGGCUCUCACGCAAUCUUGUUAAUAAUGGGGGCACUCUGUCCCUCGUAGGGGCCAAUACAGACUAGCCAUUAGACUGAUAAUCAAAACUUCUACACAGAAUUUAUGCUUUUGUAAUUUUUCUUUUAUUCUGUGUAAUAGUGACAAAAGCCAGUCUAUUUUAGAUAUUUUUUCUCACAGAACUGAUUGUUAUAUUACAAUUAUGAUACUGGAUAUAGACUGGCUACAUUCACAGUUUUAAAAACAAAAAUUAAGAAAAAAAUACAUAUCAUAGUCUAGGAGCUAGUCUAGGGCCAAAAGAGCUUUAAAUAGAAAUACCUGUAAACAACUUCUUCCCAGGAACUACUUAGUGGGACUUCAUCAUACUUGGUUUGUAGCAUCAUUAGACGAUUCUCUUGCAAAUAUGUGGGCCUCCAUGGCCGAGUGUUUAUGGUCACUGAAUUUGAAUCACUUGGCACUCACCGCUGUGGGUGCAUGCCUCACUUGGGACAUAGAAUUCUUCAUGUGAUGGCGCAUAGAACUCUUGGCUUACAAAAGGUUGGUAGUUUUAUCCAAGUGCCCACAUGUGAUGAUUAAUGCACAGUAAGGUCUAAAGGUAACUGCUCUUCACAGGUGAGUGACUUCUGCCCAUUUAGGCUUUUUGUUACCAAUUUUUGCUGUAAAAUUGUGCUGAAAUGUUCCUUUUCUAUCAAAUCUACCAUAAUAGCCCAUGUGUAUCCAUAACUGGACAAUCCAUGUUUUCUUAUAGAAUACACUGCACAAAAUACACAAUGAAUUUUUUUCUUAAAUGAUAUAUCAUGUACCUCAAUGGAAAUUUGUGCUUCUUUCUUUGAAAUAAAAAAAAUACAGCCUUUAUUUUGCAUUUUUGUAGAUUGCAGACAUUUGACUGCUAAAGAGACACUAGUCUUUUUCCAGAUCCUUUAUAAAAAUUUAGUUGUGAACUGACAGAGAUAUUUUAGGGACCUAAACUUUACUUCCAAAUUUGAUGUUGCAUGAUUUAUAAAACAUUCAAAUAUGACAAAUCAUAUUUUUCAAAGUAUAAAGGACCCAUAAUGAAAAUUGGAAUUUUCCGUUCAAGUAUAUAUUUUCUCAGUGCAUUUUUGGGGGGGGAAAAAUUGUUUUGUUUUACUAUGGCCAAAGAAUACCAAAAUAGCAUAUCAGAAAAUACGUAAUCGGACGGAAAUUGCCAGUUGUCAUUAAGGGCCCACUACCUUAGAUAUAUCAAGCUAUUG